AUGAUGUUGAGAGAAAUAUCAGCGAUUGAUGAUGAUGUUGCAGGGAUGAAGAGUGGAGCGAGGAAGAGAAUGAAGGUUCAAGGAGAUGGAGGUUUGAAGAGAAAUUCAGAGAGAGAGGUUGAAAAGUUUUUAGAGUUCGCUCGUGAUUCUCCUCCGUUGGACGCCAACUCACGGUUCUGCCUCCUUCUCGCUGCUCUCAAUCAUCUUCUCCUUCUUCUGGUUCCGAUGAAAUCAACAGUGUUUCCGCUUCGACUAUCUCUGAUGUGA